UACGAAGGGGGCUAGCGUUGUUCGGAAUUAUUGGGCGUAAAGAGCUCGUAGGCGGUCUGUCGCGUCCGUUGUGAAAACUCGAGGCUCAACCUCGGGCUUGCAGUGGAUACGGGCAGACUAGAGUGCGGUAGGGGAGACUGGAAUUCCUGGUGUAGCGGUGGAAUGCGCAGAUAUCAGGAGGAACACCGAUGGCGAAGGCAGGUCUCUGGGCCGCAACUGACGCUGAGGAGCGAAAGCAUGGGGAGCGAACAGG
rnacentral:rRNA from 1 species